GAGUUGGCAGUGGAGAUAAGGGUAUCUUGCUGGAGAUUCUUGCCUCCUGUAGUGGUGGCCUUCCAGAGGGACUGCUGGACUGGUGACUGGUGCAUUUGUCUUCAAGAGAGAAGGGCCAAAAUUCUGCUCGCUGCUGUGUAAAUGCAGAAUUAACAGAAGAUUCCUGUCCCCAAAAUCUUAUAAUUUAGGAGAAGUGUUAUGAACAGUGGAUGUUCAAAAGCUGUAGAUUAUGAUAAUGUGGUGCAAGUGUGGAUUUUUGCUGGCCUUUGUGAGGAGGGAUGCCACAGUCUUGGUGAAUGAUCUUCGCAAAUGGUUACACAGGAAAGCAUCCAGAUGCCUACAUGCAGAGAAAGAGAGGAUCCAAAUAAAAACUAACGUGAGUCAAUCAGCCAAACUACAAACUUUGCUGAUGUACUCCUGGCAGAUCAAACAUGGACAGAGAUUGAAGAAACAAGUAGGUGGUUCAGCUGGGUCACAGAUGAAAGAAGAAAAGUUUCAGGGAGGGCUGAGUUGAAAAAAUGUGAGGACGCAGGGAAAAUUGUGCGUGCUUUUAAAAAGACAAGAGCAGAGGUUGAGCAAGUAGAGAGAAUCUUAGAGCAAUAUAGAAAGAUUAAAGGUCAUAUACUUACCACGGUGAAAGACAUUGGAUGCAUUUGGAUGUUGAAGAGGAAGAAGAAAACUAGGAAUAGGGAACAAACAUGUAUUCAUUGGAUUGAUUGGCCCUUUGCUUAUAAAAACAAAGAAAAACGAACAAGCAAAAAUCCAAAACCAUUCACUUUUGUUUAUUGUGACAUAAACAUUUUGAAACAACUCCAAGAAGACACUUUUUGAAAUUCAGUAAAAGGGAUUUUUAUCCUCAUUUAUGGAAACCUGCGUUACAUUUUACAGAUCAGAAAGUUUCCUUAGUUGGAAAAUCACAUGUAUUGUUUUUCCUCUUACAUCAGCCUGGAAUUGAAAGAUGGAUUUUUUUUUCUGCUAGAAAGAGCAACAUCUGAUAGGCUACAUUAAGAACAAUAACCAUACUUUUAAACUCAUUUCUAUUUUCUUUCCUCAUGUAAACUUCACUAGCCUUAGGUAUAACUGUUAUUCUAUAUUUUCUCCUCUAUUAUAGCUGGAACAUUAUAAAAGAAAUAGUUGGAUAGGAUAAUAGGAUAUUGUCAAAGAUGCUACAAAGAUCAUAUUUUGAGAAAAGAAGAUAAAAAGCUGCAGAGUUUCACACAUUUAUUUUUCAAGUUAUUCAGAGUUAUCUCCUGUUCUACUUGCUACUCUUUUGUGACAUGCCAUUAAGGAGAAUACCAAUAUACUAGAAAGAUACCAGUUCGAGAAAAUUAUUUUUGUACCUAGCAAUUCUCUUGAAUUCAGUAGUAAGAGAUUCAACGGAGGGAAAUCCAAACUGUAUGGUACAUCUCUUCCAGGACUGCACACCUGUCUUCUGCAGCAAUGAGAAGCCAUCAAAAUAUAAUUUAUUAUGAUGCACAGUCUAAAGGAAAGUAGGUCUUGUUUCCCUCUGCUUUCUUCGUUGGUAUUUUAUGUUUUGUAUAAGUGACUGUUAACAUCUUCUUAAA